AGAAAAGUUCGUACAUAACCGCUUCAUGUUACUUAUGUAAACAACAUUCCCCAGAAAUAGCUCUUUUGAGCACUAUUUAAUUUUGGAUGACAAAAAAAAGAAUAGCUUACAUUAAACUCUUUGUAUUUUGGUACCUUAUUGAUACUACAUAAUUAUGUUUUAUCAUAUCUUUCUGAAUUUUUGAGACAAUUCAUUAAAUAGUUACACUUUCUUUGGUCAAAAGCUAAUAGUUACACACAACGGGCGUAUUCUUUUUUCUAGUCGCACAACCAGCGAUAGCGACAAGAAAAUUAAAAGGCACAUAUGCUUAUCAUCUUCCAAAUCAAAGCUGUUUUGAGAAACUCUGCUUCAGAAACAGAGACGCUGCGACUGAUUAAAUGACAUGCAGCUGUCGCUGAUAUUUUCAGCGAUCGGUUUAAUCAACUCUGCUUGCCCUCGCUUUAGUCUCAGUCUGUCGCUGGUGAUGUUGUUUGCUUUCAUAGAAGUGCAAUUUUCCUGUCGCCGACGCUAAUCGCGCGACUUUGAAAAGAACACGCCCAACACCACAAAAUGGCGGAUUCUCUUUGAAUUUACGUCCUCAGAUCCAGAUCCUCCACCACGUAACCACCAUAAGUGGAUUCCAAAUGAGUCUCUUUCUUGCAUUUUUAUUUCUUUUUGAUUAAGAAGAAUGUAACUAUUUUUUUUAAAGAAAAGAAUGUAACUAUUGAGAGACUACUUUUCGAAUAGCUUACAUUAAAUCUCUCUGAAUUUUGGUACCUUAUUGAUAUUACACAAUUAUGUUUUUAUCAUAUCUUUCUGAAUUUGUAAGACAAUUCAUUAAAUAGUUACACUCCUUUGGUCAAA